rnacentral:siRNA from 1 species
AACAACUGGUGUGCAUUCUCA